GAUGAACGCUGGCGGCGUGCCUAAUACAUGCAAGUCGAGCGAACGGACGAGAAGCUUGCUUCUCUGAUGUUAGCGGCGGACGGGUGAGUAACACGUGUAUAACCUACCUAUAAGACUGGGAUAACUUCGGGAAACCGGAUCUAAUACCGGAGAAUAUUUUGAACCGCAUGGUUCAAAAGUGAAAGACGGUCUUGCGGUCACUUAUAGAUGGAUCCGCGCUGCAUUAGCUAGUUGGUAAGGUAACGGCUUACCAAGGCAACGAUGCAUAGCCGACCUGAGAGGGUGAUCGGCCACACUGGAACUGAGACACGGUCCAGACUCCUACGGGAGGCAGCAGUAGGGAAUCUUACGCAAUGGGCGAAAGCCUGACGGAGCAACGCCGCGUGAGUGAUGAAGGUCUUCGGAUCGUAAAACUCUGUUAUUAGGGAAGAACAUAUGUGUAAGUAACUGUGCACAUCUUGACGGUAACUAAUCAGAAAGCAACGGCUAACUACGUG
rnacentral:rRNA from 1 species